rnacentral:tRNA from 1 species
CCUUCGAUAGCUCAGUUGGUAGAGCGGUGGACUGUAGUUGGAAUAUUGAUAUCCAUAGGUCGCUGGUUCAAAUCCGGCUCGAAGGA